UUCUAACCUACGAUAAUAUAUAUUUUUUAUAUUUGUUAUAUAAAAGUACAAUAAAUUAGUUUAUUAACAAAUCUACUGGUUAAAUUAAAAUAUACAGUAUACAGAUAUGAAAUAAGAGAAUGAUAAGAGCUUUUUAUGAAGAUAAAAUGGAGAAUACGACAAGAAAAAUGGAGAGAAAUAAGAUUUUCCUUUGGGAACAUGUGUACUUGCAUAGAAUUUCAUAAGAGAAUCUCACCGAUUGUACCUUGCUUUUCAAUGAAAGUGUGUGCCAAGAAAGAGUAAGCUGGAGCAACAAGAUUGGAUCCGCCAAAUGGUUUCUGCAUAUAAUUGUUGCCUUCAAAUCAUUUCUGCAAAUACCUCUUCAGAGAAUGAUAUGCUGUACCUCCCAAAUCUACUUAUUUCGAUGAUAUAAAGAUAAUUUUAUUCUUAAUGGUUGUUCCACACUGGUAGAAAUGUAUUAUUGUUAUGAGGAGAUGUAGUGAAUAAGGUUUUCUAUUGAUGUCUUCACUCUCAUUUUUUAUAAGAUACUUAUAGAGACAAUAGUAGCAAUCAUUUUAAAAAUAAUUUUGGAAUCAUACAAGACUUGGCUUAUUAACGAAGAUUCUAUAGGAAAAAGCGAAAAAACGACUUCUGCAAUUGAUAUAGGAUACAGAUAUGAAAUAAGACAGUGAUAAGAGCUUUUUACGAAGAUAAAAUGGAGAAAACACCAAGAAAAAUGGAGAGAAAUAAGAUUUUCUUUUGCGAAGAUGUGUACUUUAAUAGAAUUUCAUAACAAAAUCUCACCGAUUGUACUGUAUUUUCAAUGAGAGUGUGGGCCAAGAAAGAGUAAAGCUGGAGCAACAAGAUUGGAAUCCUGUUGAAAAAACGAAUCCGUCAAAUGGUUUCUGCUUAUAAAGUAGGAUAUUUGUUGUCUUCAACUCAUUUCUGCAAAUACCUUUUCAGAAAAUUAUACUUUCGAAUAUUCAGAUCCAUGGAAGCUAUGCUGUACCUCCCAAAUCUGCUUAUUUCGAUGAUAUAAAGAUAAUUUUAUUUUUAAUGGUUGUUCCACACUGGUAGAAAUGUGUUAUUGUUAUAAGGAGAUGCAGUAAAUAAGGUUUUCUAUUGAUGUCUUCACUCUCAUUUUUUAUAAGAUAUAGAGACAAUAGUAGCAAGCAUUUUAAAAAUAAUUUUGGAAUCAUACAAGACUUGGCUUAUUAACGACGAAUCUAUAGGAAAAAGCGAAAAAACGACUUCUACAAUUGAUACAGAUAUGAAAUAAUGCAGUGAUAAGUGCUGUUUAUGAAGAUAAAGUGGAGAAUACGCCAAGAAAAAUGGAGAGGAAUAAGAUUUUCUCUUGGGAAGAUGUGUACUUGCAUAGAAUUUCAUAAGAAAAUCUCACCGAUUGUACCCGGCUUUUCAAUGAAAGUGUGGGCCAAGUAAAAGUAAAGCUGGAGUUACAAGAUCGGAAUCCUGUUGAAAACACGGAUCCGCCAAAUGGUUUCUGCUUAUAAUUAUUGUUGCCUUCAAACUUUGCUUCAAAUCAUUUCUGCAAAUACCUCUUCAGAAAAUUAUACUUCCGAACAUUCAGAUCCAUGGAAGCUAUGCUGUACAUCCCAAAUCUGCUUUUUUCGAUGAUAUAAAGAUAAUUUUAUUCUUAAUGGUUGUUCCACACUGCUAGAAAUGUAUUAUUGUUAUGAGGAGAUGCAGUGAAUAAGAACCAACACUUUCUA